rnacentral:lncRNA from 1 species
UUGAUUUUAAACUGAUCAUCCAGAAACAGUUUAAGGGCAGUAAUUUCAUCACUGUCAUCCCCAGUAAUAAUAAUAUCAUCCACAUAGACUGCCAUAAUCACAAGGGCCCCAAGUUUACCUUUGAUGGACAGAGAAUAAUCAUUCAAAAAUGUGUGUACCCUCUGGAAUAAAGAGCAGAAGACAACUUGGCAUACCAUUGUCUGGAUGCUUGUCUCAGGCCAUAGAAGGAUUUCUUGAGCUUACAAACCAGAGGAGAAGGAGUAGAAGAUGUAGAAGAAACAGAACCAGAAUAAUUAAUAUUGUAUUUACAGCCAAUGGGUUUCUUACCAGGAGGAAGAGGAACAACAUCCCAGGUAUGGUUUGCUUCCAAAGCAUCAAUCUCCUGUCUCAGAUGCAGCUUGAGAGUAAUAUAAAGGUUUAGAUUCCAAAGUAGAAGAAGAGGAUCCAGAAAAGGCAGGGAGUUGAGAGACAUAAUCCUUAAGAUAGGUUGGAGGAUUAUGCUGUCUAGUGGGUUUUCUAUGAGCAGGAAGAGGUUGGGAAGAAGGUAAAACAUGAGGAGAGAUAUCAUGAUUGAAAGAAGGAAGGGGAGCUGGAUCAGUAUCAGUAAAAUCAGGAACAGUAGAACUAGGGGCUGGAUCAGAUGUAGGGGAAGAAGGAGAGGAAGCAUGUAUAGGAAAAUUUGUGUCAGUGGAAUGCUCAGCAGGAGGAAUAAAAGGAAAAGAUGAAGGAGAAGAAUGAGCAGAAGAAGGUUUAUUCUUAAAAGGAAAACUCAGCAGGAGGAAUAAACGGAAAAGAUGAAGGAGAAGAAUGAGCAGAAGAAGGUUCAUUCUUGAAAGGAAAACAUGUUUCAUGGAAUAUAACAUCCCUGGAGAUAAAACAUUUCUUGGAAGCCAGAUCAUACAGUUUAUAACCCUUUUUGGCAAAUGGGUAACCCAGAAAAACACAAGAGAGGGCUCUAGGCUAGCAAGAUCAUACAGUUUAUAACCCUUUUUGGCAAAUGGAUAACUUAGAAAGACACAGAAGAGGGCUCUAGGCUUUAACUUGUCCCUUUGAGGAAUGGGGACAGUAGCAUAAGCAAGGCACCCAAAUGCCCUCAAAUGAGAAUAGGAUGGAGCUUUCCCGUACAAAAUUUCAUUGGGAGACUUAUUGUGAAGUAAUAUGGAUGGUAUUCUGUUAAGGAGAUAAGUAGCAGUCAACAGACAAUCUCCCCACAAUGCUAGACCACAAUUCUAAAGCAUUGUCACUUCUAACAGUUUGAACCACAGUAUUAAACUCAGUUAUAUAUAUAUAUAUAUAUA